rnacentral:tRNA from 1 species
UUAGUGCGUUGGCAGAUUAGUGCCCUUGACUUAGGAUCAAGACAUGAACACCCGUUCACACACUAAA